rnacentral:rRNA from 1 species
CCCUGCUCAGGACGAACGCUGGCGGCAUGCCUAAUACAUGCAAGUCGAGCGGAGUAAGAAUGGAAGCUUGCUUCCAUUCUUACUUAGCGGCGGACGGGUGAGUAACACGUAGGCAACCUGCCCUCAAGACUGGGAUAACUACCGGAAACGGUAGCUAAUACCGGAUAAUUUCUUUCCUCUCCUGAAGAGAGAAUGAAAGGCGGAGCAAUCUGCCACUUGGGGAUGGGCCUGCGGCSCAUUAGCUAGUUGGUGGGGUAACGGCUCACCAAGGCGACGAUGCGUAGCCGACCUGAGAGGGUGAACGGCCACACUGGGACUGAGACACGGCCCAGACUCCUACGGGAGGCAGCAGUAGGGAAUCUUCCGCAAUGGGCGAAAGCCUGACGGAGCAAUGCCGCGUGAGUGAUGAAGGUUUUCGGAUCGUAAAGCUCUGUUGCCAGGGAAGAACGUCCGGUAGAGUAACUGCUACCGGAGUGACGGUACCUGAGAAGAAAGCCCCGGCUAA